CUUGGCGGUGAACUUGAGCCAGCAGCGGUUAACCCGGCCCGGGGUUCUGGGCCUCAGCCGGCGCCAGCAGCUCCCUCAGGUGGGGCGCAAGCCUCUGCGCGCCGCCCUUCUCCGCUCCGCUCCUCCAACCCGCCCUUACCUAGGGCGGUGGCCCCGGAGACCCCCUUCCCAAGGGCGACGGCCUGGAGCCUGGAGUCUGUAGUAGUGGCGGGAGAUGGGGACGCGAGUCCCUAGACGCCGACAGUCUGUCUCUAAGGCGUUGCUGCGUGGCUUUGGUGCACAGAGCCUCUCCACCGCUGCAAGCACAGCGGGGAAGUGGAUGGAGAAGCAAAGACAGACAGACAGACAGACAGACAGACAGACAGACAGACAGACAAGCGGCGGCGGGGCUACCCUGAAACCCGAGCGUCUCCAAGCCCCCACCCCCAACCCCCGGGCAAGGCGCUGCAGAAGCCAGAUCCCCGACCAGAGGCGGUGAGGAUGGGCAGGGCAAAGAACGCGCGCGCCGCUCGCGGUUCGUCCGCGCGUGGCCUUCCUCUUGCCCCCCUGCACCUUCAAUUUACCUUAUGCAGGGCGCCCCGCGAGCUGCGGGCGGCGGCGCCGAGCCGAAGCGCAGAGGACAGGAGUUUGAGAGCCGCCAUCUUCGGCCCCGGGUGCGGGAGGAGGUGGCGCGCGCGGGAGUGCGUGCGAGUGCUGGUUGCCGGGAGCCGAAGCGGCGUCACCGGCUAAGAAGAGAGAAGGCAAGGCGAGCUGUGGGGCGGGAUGGAGGCUCGACCGCGCGUCAGUGACGUCCUCGGGACCUCAGAGCGGUGCCGCCCCUUGCUGCCUGCUGGCUUGUCAAGGAGCGAGACAGGGAGGGGCCCACGGCUAGGAAUGGAGAGGCUGCACAGCUAGGAUGAGCCCCGCGGGUUGUGCCGGGACCGGAGGUGCUGGGCUCCAGCUCGUCUGCCGGCACACCCGCAGCGGCGGGCGCUGCACUCAGGCUGGAGGGGGCGCUAGUGCCUGCCUUCCCCUCGCGCAAGGCUUGGCAUCAACCAGGGUUUCGGGUUGCCAAGGGCCUGGAGGGUCUCUUACUGAACGCGUUACUUUUCCAAGUCGCCCUCUGGAAUGAGUACAGGUACAAAGGGUCACUGAUAAAGAUCUCCUCCCAGAUCUAGACAGCUCACCUUUCAAACAUUUCUCAACCCCACCACCCACAACUCUCUUCAAGUCUGAUUUUGCCCUUAGUUUCCUCUGAAACCCAGCAGCGUGCUGACUGACCCUCAUGAGACAUGACCUGCUUAACCGACAGAGGGACAAGAUUAGAACUGGACUGUUCCGCAUCAUCCUAGUCUGUGUUCCAGAAUUUUCCUGGAACCGGAGUCCCAACAAUUCCAGAAAUUACAGAGCAGCAACAGCUAAGCAACUAAUACAGAAGUUGGUACUAGAGUGGGCCAAAGCUGUGUAGCACUUGACUGUGUUGCUUUGAAGAGGAAGGUGGGAGACUGUGGAGAUCUGGACUAGAACACCAUCUGAAUACUUUUGGCAGAACUAAAAAGGUAACCCUAAGGGAAGCCUGAAAGAUAACCAUACUGAGAGCAAUGAGGACUGUGGAGACCCAGAGCAAAAGGUUUCAGAGAGGAACACGACCAGCCAUUGGGCUCCAAGCCCUUGUGAUAUUUGGGCAAAGAAUCUAAUGGCCCUAGGCUUUGAUCCUAAGAACUUACCUAAGGGGAAAUUUUUAAAGUAACAGAAUAAUCUCUAUAGUGAAUAAAAUUUCAAGACCAC
rnacentral:lncRNA from 1 species